AUGACCUCCUCCGGGCGUGGCUGCACCCCCUCCUCGCCCCCAGACAACCAGACCGGUGAGCAUGGACGGGCUAGCCCCCUUCUGUGGCGAGAUCAAUCACCUAAGCUGCCGCCAAUGACAAGGGGACGCUACCUGCACAUAAUUAUUCGUCUAGCCGGCAGCAACCCCAGGCUGUGGCCGUGGAAGAAGAGGGAGCCCAGGUCGGCGGCGCGAGUUGAAGGGAGAGGACCACGCCAGGGCCUGGAUCCGCCGGUCCCCAACCAUCCACCCACUAAGCGACACGACCGACCCGCUCCCAUCCUCACUGCCCGCAACACGAGUCGCGGCGGGGCAGCGAGGAGUGGAGAGGUGGAGAUGCUCCUGCGGCCGCGCCCGAAGAAGAGGUCAGGAGAUGGGGGCGGCGGCGGAGCAGGAGAUGGGGGCGGCGGCGGCACGGGAGAGGAGGGAAAGAGAAGUUGCAUCGGGAUCGAGAGGAGGGCCAUCGUACGGGCUUUUCUGAGCCGGAGCGGUGGUGCCGAAAAAAAUCUACAAAAGUUAACUUACGGAAAAAAACCGGACGAAAGUGGUGGGAUGAAAAUUGGCCGGCGGAGACUACCAACUGCUCCAUUAAGAGUAGAGAUAGAACAGUUGGUGAAUAGUCUAUGCGGUUUAUUUUCGCUGGGUUUUUUUUUCGUCUCUCCUCCCACCACCCCCUCCCAUCCUGGUUUUUUUCGUCUUCUCCCUCACCCCACCCCACACCCCGCAGAAAAAAAUGCUCCAUCGAUCCCAUCUCUACUCCAAUACGAGCCGCCGCCGAGAUGCGAGACGAUCCGCCGCCGCCGAGGACCGAGUGGAGCCGCCGCCGGCGCUGGCCAGCCUCCCCACCGAUUUGCGCGCCGGGUCGCCGCUCCCGCUCCGGGAGCCCCAGCCGCCACCACUUUCCUCCUGCUCUCCGGCAAGUCCGCCCAGGACCGGCAGCUCCUCGCCUCCGACGCCGGUGAGUUCUCUCUGGCGGAGGAGGGCGGGGGCGAGCUCGUCGUCUCCCUCGCGCUCGACGCAAGCGGGGACGCGGACUACGAUGCGGCCGCCUACAUGGGCGCGCUCCAGGCGCGGCGCUUCGGGAGGUGGAUGCGUUGGUCGCCGCGGAUGGUAGGACUUUAUCAGGUCGUCCCUGACAAGAGGGAGCGAGAGAUGCUACUGCCAGGCACGUGCACGCACGUGGGGCGGCCGCCUGCGAGCGGGGCCGCGUCCUCUCUCCUUCGCCGACCAUGGCCUCCCAACCACUCCGUUGAGCGGUACCUCUGCGCCCAAGUGUCAGCUCCUCGAUCUUCAACAGAUUUGUUAUCUCCUCUCUUCCGUUGCAGUAAAACUUAUCUGUCGUCAAGUCAUACCCAGCCCAUUGGCCGUCAUCCGAAUGCUUCUGAUAAUAAUCAAGCAUGUGUUGAUCUUGGUCUUGUUCUGUAUGCAGGUAGGAACAAUAUGAUACGAUGCACAUCGGUCCGCUUUACUGGCAGCUAUCUUUCAAGAUGGAGGGGAGGCACUCGUGUGGACCUGCUCAAUGUUCGAGGAGAUACGGCUGACUAA
rnacentral:rRNA from 1 species